UUGGCCUGCUGCGUUCAUCCAGCUCUACACCUUGUUAUCUCAGAUUCUCCAGCACCUGCAGUUCCUACUAUCUCUGGAUUACUAGUUCAGUAACAGAGCUACUGUUACCAUAACCCACAUAAAGAGAUAUGCAAGCUAAUUGGUCUAAUUCUUUAUUUAUCUCACUGAUAGCUAAAUAAAACAUUAUCACAAAUUCUAAUUGAAAUGUUUGAACAAAUUGUACUAUAUUUUGUUUUGCAUAGAUGGUGGGUGUAACAUAUAUCAGGAUCGGCGACCUACUGUUGCAAUGAAGUACACUGAUACAUCCAGGAUUGUCACAGAGAACAUUUAUACAGAAAUCAAGGAUACAGCAGGAAAAACACGUGACUCGGAAAGUUAUGGGAGUCUGCACAGUGUCCAUAGCCCUCAGAAAUCAGAGGAUGACCCCCAUCAGCUUCCAAAGCAUCAUGAUGAGCAAGAAAUGGGGAAACCCAGUCGGGAAAACACCAAAUCCAAUUUAUGUAUUUUAUUAUAAAUGUUCUAAAUAAAAACAAAAAAAAUCA